rnacentral:lncRNA from 1 species
UUCCUCUGAGAUGGCUAUUAUUUUCUGAUUGUGACUAAAUAAAAAAUUGCUGCUUCUAUUUUGUGAAAAUAAGAAUGUACACAAAAAUUGAGGUGUUGAAAGAUCAUUUCUUAGGAUCUCCAAGUUAUGUUAUCUUAAGGCAAAAGCCAGAAUAAGUAAGAAAAUUCAUAGAACAUAACUUUUAAUUUUCUGUAAAACAUGGAGAAAAUCAAUCCCCCAAGUAAACAGGAUUUAGAGGCAUGAGGAAGAAAAAGUGUGGAUCAGCUGUUCAAGAAAUUGAGAUUAGUAACAGUCACAGAUGUAUGAAUUAUGGUAAUUAGAAAGGAUGAAUUUUCUUGAUGUGGAAUGAGAAGUGAUGAGAAGACAAACUUAAUCAUGUGUUUGGGAAACCUGUAGGCAGUAGUAAUUGCCAGCAUUUAUUGAACGUGCAAUCGACAUGAAGCCCUGUACUAAGGGCUUAACGUAUAUCACCUAACCUAUUCUUCAUAAUAAAACAUUGCAGAGGUAUCAAGAUGAUAUAAGAAUUUUAGCAGAGUUCAGUUACAUGCAAUUUGUCAUUGGAAUAGCUUGGACUCGAACAGCUCUGUUCAUCAUCAUAACAACAGCAUCUCCUGUUUAGCUCUCUGGUGUGAUACACCAAAAACAAAAAAUAAGGCAUGAGAAAUGGAAGUGCCUGUAUAUGAAAUUGAAAUGGUGAAAAAGAAGUUGAGUGGAAGGGUAUGGACUGAAAAAAUGACUCAUGGAUUAGUUGUCAGUAUGAAUCAGUCCACAAAUACAUUUUGGGCACCAAUGAUUCAUGACUCAGAUUAAGAUUUUGAAGGAUUUUGGAGUCACAAAGCAUCCUUAAAAAACAAUGUGUAGGAACAAGGUCAUAAAAGUGACAGAUGAAGCAAGGCAUUGCCC